UCUUGCACAAUGGGCGCAAGCCUGAUGCAGCAACGCCGCGUGCGCGACGAAGGCCUUCGGGUCGUAAAGCGCUUUUCGGGGAGAUGAGGAAGGACAGUAUCCCCGGAAUAAGUCUCGGCUAACUACGUGCCAGCAGCCGCGGUAAAACGUAGGAGGCGAGCGUUAUCCGAAUUUACUGGGCGUAAAGGGUGUGCAGGCGGACCGAUAAGUUGGGUGUGAAAUCUCCCGGCUCAACUGGGAGAGGUCGCUCAAGACUGUCGGACUGGAGGGCAGUAGAGGGAGGUGGAAUUCCCGGUGUAGUGGUGAAAUGCGUAGAGAUCGGGAGGAACACCAGUGGCGCAAGCGGCCUCCUGGACUGUACCUGACGCUGAGACACGAAAGCUAGGGGAGCGAACGGG
rnacentral:rRNA from 1 species